CCCCGGAGCCAGAGAGCCGGGUCGGGGCAGGGCUGGCGCAAGCGUGGGGCGGGGCUUCAGGGAUUCUGCUCUGAAGGCCCAGGUCGCGCCCCAGCUGGAAGUGGGUAUCAGCACUGCGCGUCACGGUGAGAGGCGGGGAGACCGACAGUCAUCUUCAGACACACAGGGCCCUCCCGGGUCACCUGGGGAUGCGUCUGUUGGGCCGGAAUCGAACGCGCCCACACUCGAGAUGGGGACAGUCCUAGGACCGCCCAGGCAGGGCUGGAUUUCUCGAAAAGGCCCGCCACGUCCCAGCCCCCCUCCCAGUCCCGUGAACCCCACAAAGUGCUGAGUAACGGUGACCAGGAAGUAUCUCCGUGUGUGCGUUCUCGCCACCUCUCCUGAAUUUACCAUGACCGUUCUCUUCUCUGUAACUUCCUUCUGUUCUUUUCUUUUCACCGCUGAGCCCGCUGCUCCAGCUUGAUGCAGCGGUUUAGACAGUAGAGACGACCAGGGGACCGGCUGGGCUCUUGACUGUCAGACAGCUGCGUGUGAGAUGGAAGUGAGGAGGCAGACUGCUGGAACAAAAGUCGGAGUUUGCAUUGAUCCAGGAAUGCCUGUUGCAGGUCGUGUCUGGCAGGGCUGGGGAUUGUGGAAGAUGCGUUAGCUGGACUUGUGGAGCCAGGAGGGCCUGUCAGCUGCUGGAAGUGGAGGUGGAGAAGCUGCUCACAGGAACCAGAGCCAGAAGGCUGGGAGGGAGAGUCCCAGGACAGAACUGAAAUAACAGUGAAGAAGACUGAAGAUCUGCCUGCUCCGACAUGUGGAGAGACACUACAGAAUGUAGAAUGCCUGAGCUGCCACAGGGAUUCCAUGUGACAUCUGCCACAUGCGGGCAUGAAAUUAAUUCUCCAUCCUGUUCUUCUCUAAAGACAUUUUCACGGCUGCUUUCCAGAGGGCCUGUGACUUGGCACAAUAAAGUAAGCGCUCCUUCAACUCAUUUUCAGCUCAUACAUAUACCAAUCAUGAGUGACGUGCUUUGGCUGUGUGCCCACCCAAUCUCAUCUUGAAUUGUAGCCCCCAUAAUUCCCAUGUGUCAUGGGAGGGACCUGGUGGGAGGUAAUUGAAUCAUGGGGACGGUCUUUCCUGUGCUGUUUUUGUGAAUAAGUCUUGUGAGAUCUGAUGGUUCUAUAAAGGGGGUUCCCCUGCACAUACCCUCUUGCCUGCCAUCAUGUAAGACAUCCCUUUGCUUCUCCUUUGCCUUCUGCCAUGAUUGUGAGGCCUUCCUGGCCAUGUGGAACUGUGAGUCAAUUAAACCUCUUUAUAAAUUAUCCAGUCUCUGGUAUGUCUUUAUUAGCAGCAUGAGAAUGGAUUAAUACAAUGGAACUAGAACCAAAAUUAUUCACCAGUGGAUCAGGGGAUCCACUGAUAGGCUUCAGAGGGUCACUGAAUGUCCUAGUAUUAUCUGCACAUUUUAGUUAUGUGCAUAUGUUCUUUUGUCUGGAGGGAGAGAGUUCAUAGCCUUUAUUAGAUUUUAAGAGGGUCUAUAAAUCCAAUUUAUGAACAACUUACAAGAGAAAUCAGUUUAAUAUUUGGUUACAAAAACCAGUAAAGGUUUUGGGUCCCCCAUCUGGAAGAAACCACAGGAAUUAUUUUAUCUACCACAAUUAAUCUUCCUGAAACAUGGUGUGAUGUCCUAGACGAAAACACUAAGGAAUAGAGAAGAAAGGAACAAGCUCCCCGUAUUUAUUACUUGGAAUUUGCUUAGGCUCUCUUUUGCCCUAAGACUAUGACAUCACUUCAGCCACUGCUUAUAUUGCAUCCCUGCCAGAUGUGCAUUCAAUCUCUGCAUGAAAACUUCAGCAACCAGGGAAUGCCCACAGUCUACCAUGACCCUAGGUUAUUGUAUAUAGCUUCAUUUGUUUUAAUUUUUUCAAGUUUUAUUUUAUUAAUGUUUUAUAUACUUUGAAAAUAAUUGAAAUGAGCUAGAAUCAAGGGCAAGAAAAAAUAAUGAAACAUUCAAGGAUGUUACAGUGUGGCAGUGGCUGAUAGGGAGUGCCAGGAAACUGCUUGUAAGGGAGAUUACUGUGUCUGAGCAGAGGAGGCACUCCUGAGAUUCUUGGCAGCAAUGACAAAAAGAGAAGCCCAAGGGAUUCCCUAACUUUUCUGAUCCAAUGCAGAGAAGACAGCCAUGUUUUCAAGGGAGGUGGGUAUUCUCCUAACUCUUGUGUUCCUGGAGAAAUUAUCAUAAAGCUUUUUAUACAAUGUACAUUUAAAAGGGCAUAAUGGACAAGUGGCUCUUUGCCAGAUGUUUUACCAGAAUUGUAAGACAUUUUUUGUAAGUACCCUUAAUAGGAACUGGACUCUGGGUUUGAUUUUUUAAAAUAAUAAAAGGCACACAGUACUUAACUGCUUCAAUAAGUCAAUGUUCAGUUGUGCUAUCCCAGAUAAAAGAGAGGAGCACAUUUAUGGAACAUCUUUGUGGAGGUGGUCUCAAAAGAGUGCAUUUGAUUUUUCUUGACCUACCAGGAAAACAGUGGAUGUUCAUGAACACCUUCCUAGUCAGUUCCACAAAAAAAAAAAAAAAAAAAAAGGAAGGAAAUUUAUAGGAACAUGUCUUUUUGGCUGGCCAUCCAAAUCUGCCUCCUCUGGUUCUAGAGACUUUCCUUGCAGGUCACUGUGGGGUUGGACCAGCAGAGAGUUUCAGAGCUUUCAUGGCUUAACUGAAGCUCUGGAGGCAAUAGUAGUGGGGAUCUUACUGGCCCUUACAGUGCUGCUCAGAUACCAAAUCCUGCAGGCUGAGUCACAAGAGGUAAACGGUUUGUAAUACCCUCUCUCUAGGAUCUCUUCCUCCUUUUUGUGUCUUUUGCACAGAAAAUUGAUAUUUUUUGUUAAAUGGAGUCAAUAUUACAAGUUUUUCUGGUGGUUUUGAAUGAUUUCUAAAUUGAUCCAGAUAUGACUCUGUCAAGAGAUAUGAUUACAAUGUACAAAACAUUUAGAAGUAGACUCAUUUGUAUAAUGUGACAUAAAUGGUCUCAAGCUUUUUUUAAACUACAUAACCAGGAUGCUAAGUUAGUAAUAUUCAAUGAGAAAUUCAAUCCUCAAUAAAACUUCUAGAGACAUGAGUAUCCACAUUAUAAUUAGAGGCUUGUUCGGUGACCCUGGGAUUAGAAUAUGGGAGUGUAAAUCAUCUUAAUGACAGUGCCAUCAAUUCAGUUCAAUUUGUUUUCUAAUAGCUGCCUGGCAGAAAAUUCAGAUCUGAGAUCUUUAGUGAUCCCUGGAAUGCAGGAUCUAUCAAUUCUCUUGACCAUUAGAGACCAGUGAAGAUAUAAUUGUUUAUAAGAGUCUUCCCUCCCCAGCUUAUUGAGGGCACUUCCAUCUCCAUACAGAACUGAGACCAAGCAGGGCCAUGCCUUUCCUCAAAAGCAUAGCUUGGAUUGGUUCAAGAGCUUAGAUACAUAAUCAGUUGAGAACUCAGAGUCUUGUGUCAUUAUAGAAUGGAAUAAAAACUAUUGAGUGGCAGCAGUCACCAAACAGUAUCAGUAGCAGAAUGAAUGAAACAAAAAAAUCAUAUUGAACUGGAGAGAAACUUGCUGUGAUCAGAUUGGUAUCAGGACAUAAUCAGGAAAGGAGACAGAGCUGGCAGUGGGAUGCAGGGAAAAAACAGAAGCAUUCAUUUCUUCAAUCAUUCAUUCAUUUAUUUUCUCACUCACUAAUUCAUCAACACAGGAUGAGUAUUUUUUAUCCACUUGGGAUUCUUCUAGACACUGAGCUUUCAAAUCAGACAUGAGCUCCUUCAGGAACUUGGACUAAUAUGAGAAAAUACAUGAAGUUAAGAUCUGAGUUAAACAGAAAAAGGCUUGGAGCAGUAGAUUGGGUCAAAAUUAUGGAGGAACUUGGUUGCCAGCCUUAAAUACAAUGGUUUAGCCUCGAUUCUAAGGCAAUGGAAGGGGAGAGCAUCACAUGUUAAAAGAGGGAAUGCCAUACAGGGAGCUGUGCACAAAUAUGGAGAUGAGAACAGAGCUAUGGUGCUAAGUUGAGGGUAGAAAGGGGUGGGCGUGGUGGCUAACACUUGUAAUCCAAGCACUUUGGAGGCCAAAGCGGGUGAUUCACCUGAGGUUGGGAGUUCAAGACCAGUCUGACCAACAUGGUGAAACCCCAUCUUUAAAAAAAAAAGAGAGAACAGAGCUAUGGUGCUAAAUUGAGGGUAGAGAGGGGCAUUGCAAUUGUCUAAGUAAAAAAGUAUUUAGCUGGAACUAGAAGUAGGAAUGACAUUGCU